rnacentral:rRNA from 1 species
GCUGGCGACCGGCGCACGGGUGAGUAACACGUAUCCAACCUGCCGAUGACUCGGGGAUAGCCUUUCGAAAGAAAGAUUAAUACCCGAUGGCAUAGUUCUUCCGCAUGGUGGAACUAUUAAAGAAUUUCGGUCAUCGAUGGGGAUGCGUUCCAUUAGGUUGUUGGCGGGGUAACGGCCCACCAAGCCUUCGAUGGAUAGGGGUUCUGAGAGGAAGGUCCCCCACAUUGGAACUGAGACACGGUCCAAACUCCUACGGGAGGCAGAUG